rnacentral:rRNA from 1 species
UCUUCGGAGAGUUUGAUCCUGGCUCAGGAUGAACGCUGGCGGCGUGCCUAAUACAUGCAAGUCGAGCGAACUGAUUAGAAGCUUGCUUCUAUGACGUUAGCGGCGGACGGGUGAGUAACACGUGGGCAACCUGCCUGUAAGACUGGGAUAACUCCGGGAAACCGGAGCUAAUACCGGAUAACAUUUUCUCUUGCAUAAGAGAAAAUUGAAAGAUGGUUUCGGCUAUCACUUACAGAUGGGCUCGCGGUGCAUUAGCUAGUUGGUGAGGUAACGGCUCACCAAGGCAACGAUGCAUAGCCGACCUGAGAGGGUGAUCGUACCACACUGGGACUGAGACACGACCCAGACUCCUACGGGAGGCAGCAGUAGGGAAUCUUCCGCAAUGGACGAAAGUCUGACGGAGCAACGCCGCGUGAGUGAUGAAGGCUUUCGGGUCGUAAAACUCUGUUGUUAGGGAAGAACAAGUACAAGAGUAACUGCUUGUACCUUGACGGUACCUAACCAGAAAGCCACGGCUAACUACGUGCCAGCAGCCGCGGUAAUACGUAGGUGGCAAGCGUUAUCCGGAAUUAUUGGGCGUAAAGCGCGCGCAGGCGGUUUCUUAAGUCUGAUGUGAAAGCCCACGGCUCAACCGUGGAGGGUCAUUGGAAACUGGGGAACUUGAGUGCAGAAGAGAAAAGCGGAAUUCCACGUGUAGCGGUGAAAUGCGUAGAGAUGUGGAGGAACACCAGUGGCGAAGGCGGCUUUUUGGUCUGUAACUGACGCUGAGGCGCGAAAGCGUGGGGAGCAAACAGGAUUAGAUACCCUGGUAGUCCACGCCGUAAACGAUGAGUGCUAAGUGUUAGAGGGUUUCCGCCCUUUAGUGCUGCAGCUAACGCAUUAAGCACUCCGCCUGGGGAGUACGGUCGCAAGACUGAAACUCAAAGGAAUUGACGGAGUACCGCACAAGCGGUGGAGCAUGUGGUUUAAUUCGAAGCAACGCGAAGAACCUUACCAGGUCUUGACAUCCUCUGACAACUCUAGAGAUAGAGCGUUCCCCUUCGGGGGACAGAGUGACAGGUGGUGCAUGGUUGUCGUCAGCUCGUGUCGUGAGAUGUUGGGUUAAGUCCCGCAACGAGCGCAACCCUUGAUCUUAGUUGCCAGCAUUUAGUUGGGCACUCUAAGGUGACUGCCGGUGACAAACCGGAGGAAGGUGGGGAUGACGUCAAAUCAUCAUGCCCCUUAUGACCUGGGCUACACACGUGCUACAAUGGAUGGUACAAAGGGCUGCAAGACCGCGAGGUCAAGCCAAUCCCAUAAAACCAUUCUCAGUUCGGAUUGUAGGCUGCAACUCGCCUACAUGAAGCUGGAAUCGCUAGUAAUCGCGGAUCAGCAUGCCGCGGUGAAUACGUUCCCGUAGCCUUGUACACACCGCCCGUCACACCACGAGAGUUUGUAACACCCGAAGUCGGUGGGGUAACCUUUAUGGAGCCAGCCGCCUAAGGUGGGACAGAUGAUUGGGGUGAAGUCGUAACAAGGUAGCCGUAUCGGAAGGUGCGGCUGGAUCACCUCCUUU